UUGACCUCGGAUCAGGUAGGGAUACCCGCUGAACUUAAGCAUUCAUAA
rnacentral:rRNA from 1 species